GGAUCCUUGACAUUUUGCCUCAUAAAUAAAAAUGUAUUCCAUUGAAAGUUCUGUGAUUUGGUUCUUGAGCGCAAAGUCUUACCAAAAUUCAAUUGCCGGUCAAACAAAAAAAAAAACAAAAAUAGGCAUACGAAUACAUAAAAAUCACUUUAAAAUAUAAAUACAUCCUACAUUCAACCGUAAUAUGCCAUAUCCAGCCACUUUACCAAUUGCAGCGCGGAAUUUUCCAUUAAUCGAGCAGUGAGACUACCAAUUGCCGCCUAUUUAGCUGCCAUUCGAUUUAAUAUUUGUUAUACAUAGAAAAGCUAUCAAAAUGUCAUAGCCAGUCAAUAGCCACUCCUUCGAACGCAAAGUACGCAAUUAAAAAAAAGAACGAAACGAAGAAAAGCACUCAUGCAAAAGUGCAAAAAAAUCAUUGAACACCGCUUGACCGUAAAAAUCGACGCGAACUCUCCAAGCGCGUUGAAUGCGAAAUUAUUGCAGACAAAGGAAAUGAAAAUGCUUUUGUAGUGCCUUCAAUCAAAUCAAACCUGUGUUAGUGUUAAUAAAUUUAAUUAAAUGGUUUUUAAUUUAAAUAAUUAAAAGUGUGUGAAAAUUGUAUCCUGACCCUGAUUUCGGCAUAAAUAACAAG